rnacentral:misc_RNA from 1 species
GCGGAGGAUCAUUAUCGUACAAAAGAGGUGUGAGGGCUGUCGCUGACCCCCAAAGGUUGUGCAUGCCCAAACGCUUUCACACAAUCCAUCUCACCCUUUGUGCAUCACCGCGUGGGUCCCCCUUUUGCGGGGAGGGGCCUGCGUUUCCACAUAAAACUUAAUACAGUAUAGAAUGUUUAUUUUUGCGGUCACACGCAAUCAACACAACUUUCAACAACGGAUCUCUUGGCUCUCGCAUCGAUGAAGAACGCAGCGAAAUGCGAUACGUAAUGUGAAUUGCAGAAUUCAGUGAAUCAUCGAAUCUUUGAACGCACCUUGCGCCCCUUGGCAUUCCGAGGGGCACACCCGUUUGAGUGUCGUGAAAUUCUCAAAACCCUUUUCUUCUGGAAACGGAUUUUUGGACUUGGAGGUUCAAUGCUUGCCUUCAUUUUUGAAGGCAAGCUCCUCUCAAAUGAAUUAGUGGGGUCCGCUUUGCUGAUCCUUGACGUGAUAAGAUGUUUCUACGUUUUGGAUUUGGCACUGUCCCUUGGACAUCUGCUCCUAACUGUCUCAUAGACAAAUGAUGGUGCUUCGGUCGUCGCCAUCUACAUUGGCGGGAGGCUGGA